rnacentral:rRNA from 1 species
GAUGCUACCUGGUUGAUCC